UACGUAGGGUGCAAGCGUUGCCCGGAUUUAUUGGGCGUAAAGGGCGCGCAGGCGGCUACGCACGUCCGUUGUGAAAUCGCUCGGCUCAACUGGGCGGGGUCGGCGGAUACGGCGUAGCUGGAGCAAGCUAGGGGGCAAUGGAAUUCCCGGUGUAGUGGUGGAAUGCGUAGAUAUUGGGAAGAACACCGGUGGCGAAGGCGGCGCUCUGGACCGAGACUGACGCUGAGGCGCGAAAGCGUGGGGAGCAAACAGG
rnacentral:rRNA from 1 species